CAGCUCAUCAAAUGGCCCAAAUUCAAUCGUCAUCCAUCGUUGAAUUUUGUGAUUUACAACUAAAACACCAAUUUAAAUUGGUUCUCAUUAUUAUUGGUUGAUGCCUAAUCUAACCAGCCAUAACCCAUAACAGUAAAGGAAUGCUCAUUCAAUUCAAGCUCAAUUUCUAGAGAGAGGGGCGGCUGAACACUGAAUCUGUUAAGACUGAGAGUCUUUAAGGAGUGUGUGUGAUGGGAGAUGAGAAAUCUCUCGGCGUGAUGGGCAGCGGCAGAGACAGAGAUCGCGAGCUUCUUAUACCGGUGGCUGAUUCUGUUGACCGCCGCCUCGAUGACGACGGCCCCUCCUCCGCCUCCGCUUCCUCCUCCCACCAUCAUUCUGGCCGUGAGACAUUUUACAAAGUCGUGAGGAGCUGGGCUUCGAAGAAGUUCAUGACUGGAUGUGUCAUCCUUCUACCAAUAGCUAUUACUUUCUAUGUAACAUGGUGGUUCAUUCAUUUUGUGGAUGGCUUUUUCUCUCCUAUUUAUGCUCAACUUGGAAUUGAUAUAUUUGGUUUGGGAUUUGUGACCUCCAUUACUUUUAUUUUCUUGGUUGGAGUAUUUAUGUCAUCAUGGUUGGGGGCUUCUGUUUUGAGCCUUGGAGAGUGGUUUAUUAAGCGCAUGCCCUUCAUUCGUCAUAUUUACAACGCCUCGAAGCAAAUUAGUGCUGCCAUAUCUCCAGAUCAGAACACACGGGCUUUCAAAGAAGUGGCUAUAAUAAGGCAUCCGCGUAUUGGUGAAUACGCAUUUGGGUUCAUCACUUCAUCUCUCACACUCCAGAGUUAUUCAGGAGAGGAAGAGCUCUGCUGUGUGUAUGUCCCAACGAACCAUCUUUACAUUGGUGAUAUGUUCCUGGUCAAUGCUAAAGAUGUUAUUAGACCUAACUUGUCUGUACGAGAAGGAAUUGAAAUCGUGGUAUCUGGUGGCAUGUCGAUGCCCCAAAUCCUAUCUACCUUGGAUCGGCAUACUACUCAACUUGAUAGAAUCAGACCGGAUAGAUCGUAGAAGCUGAGAGGCUUUGAAUUCAUGAGUAAUAUGAUAGGUUGCGCAUGCCUUUGAUAUAAUUUCACUACUGGUAAUGCUGGCAUCUGAUUUGGAUUCCAGAGUUCGAUCUUUUGUCUCUGAACUGUUAGAUUACUAUCUUCUCAUCUUCUGCAGCAUAAUUAUUGCAGUUUACUAGGUAGGAAGCUGGUUUUGUGAUUUUAUAAUAUUGGCGGCUUAUAUGUUUUUAUUACAGUAAAGCUUGGGCCAAGGUGUUGGCUUUGCAUCCCCGGACGUAUGUCGAAAAUCUAGGACUCUGCUCUGCAACCACAGAAAACGACAAUUGUGCAAAUCACAAGAAAUCACGAUCACGAGGCUUAGUCCUCGUUGGUAUAUAACCUGAUCAUUUUUUUUUAUGGCAUGCCUUCUUGUUGCCAUAUACGUGUUAACACUCCAUGUUUGGAACUGUACCUCAUCAUCUCCUGAACAGGAAACUGUUGUACCAUCAAUCAAGUAACAAAGAUUUACUAGAAGAUCUCAAUUUUGUGGA